CUGCUUAACAACACGAGACUUCUCCAGCAGAUAGUUGCUUAUAACUCCUCCGAGUGGAUCACCCUUGAAAUCAAACUCAAUAUCCAUGUAUUUUCCAAAUCUAGAGGAGUUGUCAUUCCUCACAGUUUUGGCAUUUCCAAAAGCUUCAAGAACAGGAUUUGACUGCAGAAGUUGUUCUUUCACUUGGUUAACCUCUGCCCCCUUGCCACAUACAGCAGCUACGUAUGACAUGACAAACUUGCUUGCCUCUGUUUUUCCAGCUCCACUCUCUCCUGUAAUAAGAAUACACUGGUCUUUGUCCUGGUCUCUUAAAGAUCGAUACGCUUCGUCUGACAGAGCAAAGAUGUGAGGGCUGAGUUCAUAGAAGUUCCGGUUUCUGUAUUCUUCAACUUUCUCUGGAGUAUAAAUGGGGAGAGGUCUGUAAGGGUUUAUUGAUAUCACCACGCUGCCAAUGUAUGUAUAUACUUCAUUGUGAUCAAAGCGCUUUUUCAGAUUAUUGAUGAAUGAAUCUUCAUUAAGCGGCUCUAAAAGAACCAUAUCUCCCACCCCUAUCAUGUAAUCUAAAAGUGACGUCUUGACCUCCAUUUUGGCCAUUUCCUUAUUUUUUCAGUUGGCACUUCUCUUGGCAGCCUGGUAUAGUGGUUGGUGACCCUGCACGUGGCAGAGGGGUUGAAACUUGAUGAUCAUUGUGGUCCUUUUCAAUCCAGGCCAUUCU
rnacentral:lncRNA from 1 species